rnacentral:rRNA from 1 species
AGAGUUUGAUCCUGGCUCAGAACGAACGCUGGCGGCGUGGAUAAGACAUGCAAGUCGAGCGGGGUAUUAUUUGUAGCAAUACAGGUAAUGCUCAGCGGCGCAAGGGUGCGUAACACGUGAGCAACCUGCCCCAAAGACUGGGAUAACACCGGGAAACCGAUGCUAAUACCGGAUACCCUCAUCGGGUCGCAUGGCCCGAUGAGGAAAUGAAUUUCGCUUUGGGAGGGGCUCGCGGGAUAUCAGGUUGUUGGUGGGGUAACGGCCUACCAAGCCAUCGACGUCUAGCUGGUCUGAGAGGACGAUCAGCCACACUGGGACUGAGACACGGCCCAGACUCCUACGGGGGGCAGCAGUGGGGAAUCUUGCCCAAUGGGCGAAAGCCUGAGGCAGCAACGCCGCGUGUGGGAUGACGGCCCUCGGGUUGUAAACCACUUUCAGCAGGGACGAAAUUGACGGUACCUGCAGAAGAAGCUCCGGCCAACUACGUGCCAGCAGCCGCGGUAAUUC